UACGGGGGGAGCAAGCGUUGUUCGGAUUUACUGGGCGUAAAGGGCGCGUAGGCGGCCACCGCAAGUCGACUGUGAAAUCUCCGGGCUUAACCCGGAAAGGUCAGCCGAUAUUGCGGGGCUAGAGUGCAGAAGGGGCAACUGGAAUUCUCGGUGUAGCGGUGAAAUGCGUAGAUAUCGAGAGGAACACCUGCGGCGAAGGCGGGUUGCUGGGCUGACACUGACGCUGAGGCGCGAAAGCUAGGGGAGCGAACGGG
rnacentral:rRNA from 1 species